rnacentral:rRNA from 1 species
AACGAACGCUGGCGGCAUGCCUAACACAUGCAAGUCGAACGAGACCUUCGGGUCUAGUGGCGCACGGGGGCGUAACGCGUGGGAACCUGCCCUUAGGUUCGGAAUAACUCCCCGAAAGGGGUGCUAAUACCGGAUAAUGUCUUCGGACCAAAGAUUUAUCGCCUUUGGAUGGGCCCGCGUUGGAUUAGCUAGUUGGUAGGGUAAAAGCCUACCAAGGCGACGAUCCAUAGCUGGUCUGAGAGGAUGAUCAGCCACACUGGGACUGGGACACGGCCCAGACUCCUACGGGAGGCAGCAGUGGGGAAUAUUGGACAAUGGGCGAAAGCCUGAUCCAGCAAUGCCGCGUGAGUGAUGAAGGCCUUAGGGUUGUAAAGCUCUUUUACCCGGGAUGAUAAUGACAGUACCGGGAGAAUAAGCACCGGCUAACUCCGUG